rnacentral:rRNA from 1 species
AUUGAACGCUGGCGGCAGGCCUAACACAUGCAAGUCGAACGGUAGCACAGAGAGCUUGCUCUCGGGUGACGAGUGGCGGACGGGUGAGUAAUGUCUGGGAAACUGCCCGAUGGAGGGGGAUAACUACUGGAAACGGUAGCUAAUACCGCAUAAUGUCGCAAGACCAAAGAGGGGGACCUUCGGGCCUCUUGCCAUCGGAUGUGCCCAGAUGGGAUUAGCUUGUAGGUGAGGUAACGGCUCACCUAGGCGACGAUCCCUAGCUGGUCUGAGAGGAUGACCAGCCACACUGGAACUGAGACACGGUCCAGACUCCUACGGGAGGCAGCAGUGGGGAAUAUUGCACAAUGGGCGCAAGCCUGAUGCAGCCAUGCCGCGUGUAUGAAGAAGGCCUUCGGGUUGUAAAGUACUUUCAGCGGGGAGGAAAGGAGUGAGGUUAAUAACCUUAUUCAUUGACGUUACCCGCAGAAGAAGCACCGGCUAACUCCGUGCCAGCAGCCGCGGUAAUACGGAGGGUGCAAGCGUUAAUCGGAAUUACUGGGCGUAAAGCGCACGCAGGCGGUCUGUCAAGUCGGAUGUGAAAUCCCCGGGCUCAACCUGGGAACUGCAUUCGAAACUGGCAGGCUGGAGUCUUGUAGAGGGGGGUAGAAUUCCAGGUGUAGCGGUGAAAUGCGUAGAGAUCUGGAGGAAUACCGGUGGCGAAGGCGGCCCCCUGGACAAAGACUGACGCUCAGGUGCGAAAGCGUGGGGAGCAAACAGGAUUAGAUACCCUGGUAGUCCACGCUGUAAACGAUGUCGACUUGGAGGUUGUUCCCUUGAGGAGUGGCUUCCGGAGCUAACGCGUUAAGUCGACCGCCUGGGGAGUACGGCCGCAAGGUUAAAACUCAAAUGAAUUGACGGGGGCCCGCACAAGCGGUGGAGCAUGUGGUUUAAUUCCAUGCAACGCGAAGAACCUUACCUACUCUUGACAUCCACGGAAUUUGGCAGAGGAUGCCUUAGUGCCUUCGGGAACCGUGAGACACGUGCUGCAUGGCUGUCGUCAGCUCGUGUUGUGAAGUGUUGGGUUAAGUCCCGCAACGAGCGCAACCCUUAUCCUUUGUUGCCAGCGAUUCGGUCGGGAACUCAAAGGAGACUGCCACUGAUAAACUGGAGGAAGGUGGGGAGGACGUCAAGUCAUCAUGGCCCUUACGAGUAGGGCUACACACGUCCUACAAUGGCAUAUACAAAGAGAAGCGACCUCGCGAGAGCAAGCGGACCUCAUAAAGUACGUGGUAGUCCGGAUUGGAGUCUGCAACUCGACUCCAUGAAGUCGGAAUCGCUAGUAAUCGUGGAUCAGAAUGCCACGGUGAAUACGUUCCCGGGCCU